rnacentral:lncRNA from 1 species
CAUCUACAAUGAUCCAUCUUUUUUCUUUACAAAUAGAAUUGGAGCUCUUGUUGGAGAUUUGAAAUGGCGUAUGAAGUUCUUAGCUAGAUUUUUUUCAAUAUACUCCUUGAGUUCAAUCAACUCAUUUUGUGAUAAAUUGUAGAUUGGUCCAAAUGGUAGUUGUGUUCUUUCUUGAAGGUUAAUUGAGAAGUCAUAGGGACGAUGUUCUGGAAGAGUAU